UACGUAGGUGGCAAGCGUUGUCCGGAUUUAUUGGGUUUAAAGGGUGCGUAGGCGGCCUUAUAAGUCAGUGCUGAAAUAUCCCCGGCUUAACCGGGAGGGUGGCAUUGAUACUGUAGGGCUUGAGUAAAGUUGAGGUUGGCGGAAUUGACGGUGUAGCGGUGAAAAUGCUUAGAUAUCGUCAAGAACACCUAUUGCGAAGGCAGCUAACUAAGCUUAACUGACGCUGAUGCACGAAAGUGUGGG
rnacentral:rRNA from 1 species